UUAGCGCCUCUUCAAAGUCUCUGUGGCACUGCAUUUGGAAGCUUCUAAAGGCUGCCUGCAUUCCUUGGCUCAUGGUCUGCAUCAUUCCAACUUUGCUUCUGUCAUCACGUCUCUUCUAACUCUGACGCUCCUGCAUCUCUCUAUAACAACCCUUGUGAUUACGUUAGGUCCACCUGAUAAUCCAAGGUCAUUGUUGAGAGACAAAAUGAGAUCAUGUCUGGGAAAAUACUUCUAAAUUUUCAACUCCCUUUCUAUGGAAGAGGAUGGCCAAAGAAGGAUGCACUCUUUGUCUGGAAUUAUGCCAGAGGUCUUAAAAUGCUCAGAAAUGAAAUCAGCCUUCUUCCCUGUCCUAAGAGGCUCAGGUUUUUGGCAAGUAACUCAUAAAAUUAGUGCUCCACUGAAAAUAAAAUCUGAUUUGAGUAGUA
rnacentral:lncRNA from 1 species